rnacentral:rRNA from 1 species
UUGUCUCAAAGAUUAAGCCAUGCAUGUCUCAGUACAAGCCAAAUUAAGGUGAAACCGCGAAAGGCUCAUUAAAUCAGUUAUGGUUCCUUAGAUCGUACCCACAUUUACUUGGAUAACUGUGGUAAUUCUAGAGCUAAUACAUGCAAACAGAGCUCCAACCGGAAACGGAAGGAGCGCUUUUAUUAGAUCAAAACCAAUCGGUGGCGGUCUCCGUCAUCGUACAACUUGGUGACUCUGAAUAACUUUACGCUGAUCGCACGGUCUCGCACCGGCGACGCAUCUUUCAAAUGUCUGCCUUAUCAACUGUCGAUGGUAGGUUCUGCGCCUACCAUGGUUGUAACGGGUAACGGGGAAUCAGGGUUCGAUUCCGGAGAGGGAGCCUGAGAAACGGCUACCACAUCCAAGGAAGGCAGCAGGCGCGCAAAUUACCCACUCCCGGCACGGGGAGGUAGUGACGAAAAAUAACGAUACGGGACUCAUCCGAGGCCCCGUAAUCGGAAUGAGUACACUCUAAACCCUUUAACGAGGAUCAAUUGGAGGGCAAGUCUGGUGCCAGCAGCCGCGGUAAUUCCAGCUCCAAUAGCGUAUAUUAAAGUUGUUGCGGUUAAAAAGCUCGUAGUCGAAUCUGUGUCCCGCGCCGUCGGUUCAUCGUUCGCGGUGUNAACUGNCGUGUCGCGGGACGUCCUGCCGGUGGGCUUAGCUCGAGAGGGCGGCCCAACUCAAUCCCGCCGCGGUGCUCUUCAUUGAGUGUCGAGGUGGGCCGGCACGUUUACUUUGAACAAAUUAGAGUGCUUAAAGCAGGCUAAAACUUCGCCUGAAUACUGUGUGCAUGGAAUAAUGGAAUAGGACCUCGGUUCUAUUUUGUUGGUUUUCGGAACCCCGAGGUAAUGAUUAAUAGGAACGGAUGGGGGCAUUCGUAUUGCGACGUUAGAGGUGAAAUUCUUGGAUCGUCGCAAGACGGACAGAAGCGAAAGCAUUUGCCAAAAACGCUUUCAUUGAUCAAGAACGAAAGUUAGAGGUUCGAAGGCGAUCAGAUACCGCCCUAGUUCUAACCAUAAACGAUGCCAGCUAGCGAUCCGCCGACGUUCUUCCGAUGACUCGGCGGGCAGCUUCCGGGAAACCAAAGCUUUUGGGUUCCGGGGGAAGUAUGGUUGCAAAGCUGAAACUUAAAGGAAUUGACGGAAGGGCACCACCAGGAGUGGAGCCUGCGGCUUAAUU